rnacentral:rRNA from 1 species
UUGAACGCUGGCGGAAUGCUUUACACAUGCAAGUCGAACGGCAGCACGGGGGCAACCCUGGUGGCGAGUGGCGAACGGGUGAGUAAUGUAUCGGAACGUACCCAGUCGUGGGGGAUAACUAUCCGAAAGGAUAGCUAAUACCGCAUACGUCCUGAGGGAGAAAGCGGGGGAUCGCAAGACCUCGCGCGUUUGGAGCGGCCGAUAUCUGAUUAGCUAGAUGGUGGGGUAAAGGCCCACCAUGGCGACGAUCAGUAGCUGGUCUGAGAGGAUGAUCAGCCACACUGGAACUGAGACACGGUCCAGACUCCUACGGGAGGCAGCAGUGGGGAAUUUUGGACAAUGGGGGAAACCCUGAUCCAGCCAUUCCGCGUGAGUGAAGAAGGCCUUCGGGUUGUAAAGCUCUUUCGGCAGGAACGAAACGGCGGAAUCUAAUACAUUCCACUAAUGACGGUACCUGAAGAAGAAGCACCGGCUAACUACGU